GACGAACGCUGGCGGCGUGCUUAACACAUGCAAGUCGAACGGAAAGGCCCUGCUUUUGUGGGGUGCUCGAGUGGCGAACGGGUGAGUAACACGUGAGUAACCUGCCCUUGACUUUGGGAUAACUUCAGGAAACUGGGGCUAAUACCGGAUAGGAGCUCCUGCUGCAUGGUGGGGGUUGGAAAGUUUCGGCGGUUGGGGAUGGACUCGCGGCUUAUCAGCUUGUUGGUGGGGUAGUGGCUUACCAAGGCUUUGACGGGUAGCCGGCCUGAGAGGGUGACCGGCCACAUUGGGACUGAGAUACGGCCCAGACUCCUACGGGAGGCAGCAGUGGGGAAUAUUGCACAAUGGGCGGAAGCCUGAUGCAGCAACGCCGCGUGCGGGAUGACGGCCUUCGGGUUGUAAACCGCUUUCGCCUGUGACGAAGCGUGAGUGACGGUAAUGGGUAAAGAAGCACCGGCUAACUACGUGCCAGCAGCCGCGGUGAUACGUAGGGUGCGAGCGUUGUCCGGAUUUAUUGGGCGUAAAGGGCUCGUAGGUGGUUGAUCGCGUCGGAAGUGUAAUCUUGGGGCUUAACCCUGAGCGUGCUUUCGAUACGGGUUGACUUGAGGAAGGUAGGGGAGAAUGGAAUUCCUGGUGGAGCGGUGGAAUGCGCAGAUAUCAGGAGGAACACCAGUGGCGAAGGCGGUUCUCUGGGCCUUUCCUGACGCUGAGGAGCGAAAGCGUGGGGAGCGAACAGGCUUAGAUACCCUGGUAGUCCACGCUGUAAACGGUGGGUACUAGGUGUGGGGUCCAUUCCACGGGUUCCGUGCCGUAGCUAACGCUUUAAGUACCCCGCCUGGGGAGUACGGCCGCAAGGCUAAAACUCAAAGGAAUUGACGGGGCCCCGCACAAGCGGCGGAGCAUGCGGAUUAAUUCGAUGCAACGCGUAGAACCUUACCUGGGUUUGACAUGGAUCGGGAGCGCUCAGAGAUGGGUGUGCCUCUUUUGGGGUCGGUUCACAGGUGGUGCAUGGCUGUCGUCAGCUCGCGUCGUGAGAUGUUGGGUUAAGUCCCGCAACGAGCGCAACCCUUGUUCACUGUUGCCAGCACGUUAUGGUGGGGACUCAGUGGAGACCGCCGGGGUCAACUCGGAGGAAGGUGGGGAUGACGUCAAGUCAUCAUGCCCCUUAUGUCCAGGGCUUCACGCAUGCUACAAUGGCUGGUACAGAGAGUGGCGAGCCUGUGAGGGUGAGCGAAUCUCGGAAAGCCGGUCUCAGUCCGGAUUGGGGUCUGCAACUCGACCUCAUGAAGUCGGAGUCGCUAGUAAUCGCAGAUCAGCAACGCUGCGGUGAAUACGUUCCCGGG
rnacentral:rRNA from 1 species